UUGGUGGGGUUGUGGCCUACCAAGGCGACGACGGGUAGCCGGCCUGAGAGGGUGACCGGCCACACUGGGACUGAGACACGGCCCAGACUCCUACGGGAGGCAGCAGUGGGGAAUCUUGCGCAAUGGGCGAAAGCCUGACGCAGCGACGCCGCGUGGGGGAUGAAGGCCUUCGGGUUGUAAACCUCUUUCAGCAGGGAAGAAGCGAGAGUGACGGUACCUGCAGAAGAAGCACCGGCUAACUACGUGCCAGCAGCCGCGGUAAUACGUAGGGUGCAAGCGUUGUCCGGAAUUAUUGGGCGUAAAGAGCUCGUAGGUGGCGGGUCACGUCGGGUGUGAAAGCCCGGGGCGUAACCCCGGGUCUGCAUUCGAUACGGGCUUGCUAGGGUCCGGCAGGGGAGACUGGAAUUCCUGGUGUAGCGGUGAAAUGCGCAGAUAUCAGGAGGAACACCGGUGGCGAAGGCGGGUCUCUGGGCCGGUACCGACGCUGAGGAGCGAAAGCGUGGGGAGCGAACAGGAUUAGAUACCCUGGUAGUCCACGCCGUAAACGUUGGGCGCUAGGUGUGGGGAGCAUUCCACGUUCUCUGUGCCGUAGCUAACGCAUUAAGCGCCCCGCCUGGGGAGUACGG
rnacentral:rRNA from 1 species